UUAAUUCGAAGCAACGCGAAGAACCUUACCAGGUCUUGACAUCCCGAUGCUAUUUCUAGAGAUUGAAAGUUACUUCGGUACAUCGGUGACAGGUGUGCAUGGUUGUCGUCAGCUCGUGUCGUGAGAUGUUGGUUAAGUCCCGCAACGAGCGCAACCCCUAUUGUUAGUUGCCAUCAUUCAGUUGGGCACUCUAGCGAGACUGCCGGUAAUAAAUCGGAGGGAAGGUGGGGAUGACGUCAAAUCAUCAUGCCCCUUAUGACCUGGGCUACACACGUGCUACAAUGGUUGGUACAACGAGUUGCGAGUCGGUGACGGCGAGCUAAUCUCUUAAAGCCAAUCUCAGUUCGGAUUGUAGGCUGCAACUCGCCUACAUGAAGUCGGAAUCGCUAGUAAUCGCGGAUCAGCACGCCGCGGUGAAUACGUUCCCGGGCCUU
rnacentral:rRNA from 1 species